UCCAGAUUAUUGAUGUAUAUAAUCUGAUGUGAAAUGAUUUUGAGAAUUUAAAGAAUUUUGAUGAUUUUUAAAAGAAUUGGAUAUGUUUUUGCCGAAAACUAGAGUUUUGGGGUUAAAUUGUAUUUUUCCAAAUUUGAAGGAUUACAUGGUAUGUUAGCCAAAAAUUCCAGAUUAUGUAAGUUAAUAAUCUGAGAUAAAAUGAUUUUGUCAAUUUUGAAAUUAAUUGAUUUAUGAAAGGACCUAAACGGUCAAUUUUGAAAAGUUUGAGGGUAUUUUGGUAUUUUGACCAAAAAUGGAAUUUAAGCUAAUAUGGGGCUGUUUUAAUAUAUUUAAAUAAAUAACCUUGAAGUGGAAAGUAUUAUUCUAUAUAAAGAAAUAUAUUUUAUAUGACAAAGUAUAUUUAUGAAAAAUGAAGUAUUUAAAUGAAUAUUUCUGAAAAAUGGUUUUAUGUGUAAAAAGAGAUAAGUAAAGAAAAAUUACAUGAAUAAAAUAAGUUAUGAACUUAUUAAAUAAGAAAGUAUUUGGAGGUUAGAAUUAAUUAAUUAAAUUAAAUUAAGAUGGUAUAGAGUUAAUUCCAGAGUAUGAUUUUAUUAAUUAAGAGAAUUAAUAUUUUGAUCCUAACUAGAUUCGACAAGUUGUCGAGCUAUCGGGUCGGAGGACCAAGGGAAUUAAAGGAGUUUAUCUUAAGGAGCAUUGACGGAGUAAUACCGUAGUUAAACGGUUUCUGACCGUUACCUGUCUUUUUGGACGAGACUUCACUUUGUUUGCUUCUCGAAGUCUCCUUGUUUGAAUUGUGGUAUUUUGUUCAGUAGCGCUACAAUAGUAGUUAUCCGCAGUAGAUUAGUAUAGUCUCAUUGUAUUCAAAUGUUUUAAAGCGCAUUUAAACUCUGAUGUUUUGUCCCAUCGGUUAUUUAAUAAAUGUUUCAUA